rnacentral:rRNA from 1 species
GACGAACGCUGGCGGCGUGCCUAAUACAUGCAAGUAGGACGCAGUUGCGAACGGGUUAGUAACGCGUAGGUAACUACCUAUUAGAGGGGGAGAACUAUUGGAAACGAUAGCUAAUACCGCAUACUAGUCAAUGGACCUGCGUUGUAUUAGCUAGUAUGUAGGGUAAUGGCCUACCUAGGCAACGAUACAUAGCCGACCGGGGAGGGUGAUCGGCCAAACUGGGACUGAGAAACUGCCCAGAAUCCGACGGGAGGCAGCAGUAGGGAAGCUUCGGAAAUGGGGGGAAGCAUGACCGAGCAACGCGGCGGGAGUGAAGAAGGUUUUCGGAUCGUAAAGCUCUGUUGUUAAGGAAGCGGUACUUACCCAGAAAGGGACGGCUAACUACGUGCCAGCAGCCGCGGUAAUUC